rnacentral:rRNA from 1 species
CUUGAACGCUGGCGGCAGGCCUAACACAUGCAAGUCGAGCGAGCGGCGGACGGGUGAGUAAUGUAUGGGGACUGCCCGAUAGAGGGGGAUAACUACUGGCAACGGUGGCUAAUACCGCAUACUAUCGGAUAACCCAUAGGGGAUUAGCUAGGGGGUGGGGUAAAGGCUCAACUAGGCGACGAUCUCUGGCUGGUCUGAGAGGUUGAUCAGCCACACGUGGACUAGGACACGGCCUAUACUCUGACGGAGGCAGCAGUGGGUAAUAUUGCACAAUGGGCGAAAGCCUGAUGCAGCCAUGCCGAGUGUAUGAAGAAGGCCUUAGGGUUGUAAAGUACUUUAAGCGGGGAGGAGUUACCCGCAGAAGAAGCACCGGCUAACUACGUGCCAGCCGCCGCGGUAAUUC